CCUGUUUAUCAAAAACAUUGCCUCUUGAACACACAUAAGAGGUACGUCCUGCCCAGUGAACCAAGGUUUAAACGGCCGCGGUAUUCCUGACCGUGCAAAGGUAGCAUAAUCAUUCGCCUUUUAAUUGGAGGCUAGUAUGAAUGGAUAAACGAGGGACCCCCUGUCUCAAGAAAUAAAUAAAAAUUAACCUUCAGGUGAAGAUACCUGAAUUCUACUAAAAGACAAGAAGACCCUAUAGAGUUUUACUUCCAAGCCUAGAUUUAGAGACUCUAGUACCUAAACCCAGGACAGAGAAGUUUAGUUGGGGCGACUAAGGAACACUCAAACCUUCCUUAACCCAAAGAAAUUAAUUCGUUUUAAAGAUCCUUCUUAGAUCAAAAAAAUAACAUUACCUUAGGGAUAACAGGCUAAUCUCCCCAAAGAGUCCACAUUGACGGGGAGGGUUGGCACCUCGAUGUUGGCUUAAGACACCUAUUAAAUGCAGCAGUUUAAUAUAGUUGGUUUGUUCAACCAUUAAAGUCUUACGUGAUCUGAGUUCAGACCCGG
rnacentral:rRNA from 1 species